GACGAACGCUGGCGGCGUGCCUAAUACAUGCAAGUCGAACGAACCGCGACUAAGUGCUUGCACUAAGUCAAGGUGAGUGGCGAACGGGUGAGUAACACGUGGGUAACCUACCUCAUAGUGGGGGAUAACAGUCGGAAACGACUGCUAAUACCGCAUAGGACAUAGGAUCACAUGAUCCAGUGAGGAAAGGUGGCGCAAGCUAUCGCUAAGAGAUGGACCCGCGGUGCAUUAGCUAGUUGGUAGGGUAAAGGCCUACCAAGGCGAUGAUGCAUAGCCGACCUGAGAGGGGGAUCGGCCACAUUGGGACUGAGACACGGCCCAAACGCCGACGGGAGGCAGCAGUAGGGAAUCUUCCGCAAUGGACGCAAGUCUGACGGAGCAACGCCGCGUGAGUGAAGAAGGUCUUCGGAUCGUAAAGCGCUGUUGUUAGAGAAGAACAGCGCAUAGAGUAACUGCUAUGCGUGGGACGGUAUCUAACCAGAAAGCCACGGCUAACUACGG
rnacentral:rRNA from 1 species